rnacentral:lncRNA from 1 species
AUUUAAGAUUGCACAUAUAUGGAACUGUGUAAAUUCAACAAAGAAUUAAGAGGCUAUUUGUUUUGAGAAAACAUUUUCUGUUUACACUUUUAAUUACAAGCCUACAUUUUAGUUAAUAGGGUUCAUUUUCAUUUCAAAUCGAGUUAAGUUAUAACUUUGUAUUGUGUUUUGAUUUUUCAAAGAGUUUCACUUGAAAUUGUGUUAUUUUUUCUUUUCAAUCCCUGUCCUGGCUUACAAAAUGAUUAUUUUAAUUAUGUGUCCAGUUAUAUAUGUUUUCUUUUGUACUUUAUCAUAAUUGGAGACUAUGUACCUGCUUUCUCUAUAUAUGCUAAAUCUUAUCUAAUCUUAGCAGGUCAUAUUGAAUAUUUCAUCAUUGUGAACCACUUCUUUUGAUAAGACAUUCAAAUAAUGAUUGAUAUGGCUAUAUUUUUAAAUUUGAUUGUCCAAUUGUUCUGUCUACAAAUUUUUAGGCAAAUGAUUUAGCAUCUUAACUUUUGUCUGCUAAAGAAAUUUCUAGUGCACAAAAGUUACUUAACUUUACAGUGAAACUAAUCAAACUAAUUCAAGUUUUUUUAGGAAACAUUACAAUUUAGGAUGUAUUUGUAUUUGUGGUGAUUAACCAUUUUCAAGUGACAUUUUGGAGCUCAGUAAUUAAGCAUCAAACGGAAGUUGGGGACAAUAGCUUAAUUCAUGGUGACAUAACAAAAUCUAACAAAGUGUGGUCAAAGGUUCCAGCAAAACCGGUAAUUAUGAAUGUGUUAUCUAAU